rnacentral:piRNA from 1 species
UAGGUGUACAGUGCAAGCUGUUAGUGUA